rnacentral:piRNA from 1 species
UCCAAUAGAUUCCUUACCCCAACCCAGGA